rnacentral:rRNA from 1 species
CCUACGGGCGGCAGCAGUGAGGAAUAUUGGUCAAUGGACGAGAGUCUGACCCAGCCACGUAGCGUGAAGGAUGACUGCCCUAUGGGUUGUAAACUUCUUUUAUAAAGGAAUACAACGAGGCACGUGUGCCUUUUUGCAUGUACUUUAUGACUAAGGAUCGGCUAACUCCGUGCCAGCAGCCGCGGUAAUACGGAGGAUCCGAGCGUUAUCCGGAUUUAUUGGGUUUAAAGGGAGCGUAGAUGGGUUGUUAAGUCAGUUGUGAAAGUUUGCGGCUCAACCGUAAAAUUGCAAUUGAUACUGGCAGUCUUGAGUACAGUUGAGGUAGGCGGAAUUCGUGGUGUAGCGGUGAAAUGCGUAGAUAUCACGAAGAACCACGAUUGCGAAGGCAGCUUACUAAACUGUGACUGACAUUGAUGCUCGAAAGUGUGGGUAUCAAACAGGAUUAGAUACCCCGGUAGUC